rnacentral:rRNA from 1 species
GGGUUGUGAGGUUAAGCGACUAAGCGUACACGGUGGAUGCCCUGGCAGUCAGAGGCGAUGAAGGGCGUGCUAAUCUGCGAUAAGCGCCGGUAAGGUGAUAUGAACCGUUAUAACCGGCGAUACCCGAAUGGGGAAACCCAGUGUGAUUCGUCACACUAUCAUUAACUGAAUCCAUAGGUUAAUGAGGCGAACCGGGGGAACUGAAACAUCUAAGUACCCCGAGGAAAAGAAAUCAACCGAGAUUCCCCCAGUAGCGGCGAGCGAACGGGGAGGAGCCCAGAGCCUGAAUCAGCAUGUGUGUUAGUGGAAGCGUCUGGAAAGGCGCGCGAUACAGGGUGACAGCCCCGUACACAAAAGCGCAUGUGCUGUGAGCUCGAUGAGUAGGGCGGGACACGUGGUAUCCUGUCUGAAUAUGGGGGGACCAUCCUCCAAGGCUAAAUACUCCUGACUGACCGAUAGUGAACCAGUACCGUGAGGGAAAGGCGAAAAGAACCCCGGCGAGGGGAGUGAAACAGAACCUGAAACCGUGUACGUACAAGCAGUGGGAGCCCCACCACUAAGCCAGUGGUGAACUCCACAUACGCAUCCUUUGCUGAGGAGACGGUUAACGGAGCGAAAGCGACGUUCAACCUCAAAACAAGCAGAGGGGGC